GACGAACGCUGGCGGCGUGCUUAACACAUGCAAGUCGAACGACGUGGCGAACGGGUGAGUAACGCGUAAUCAACCUGCCCUUCAGAGGGGGACAACAGUUGGAAACGACUGCUCAUACCGCAUACUGAAGGAGGGGAUUGCGUCUGAUUAGGUAGUUGGAGGGGUAACGGCCCACCAAGGCGAGGAUAAGGAGCCGGGCUGCGAGGGUGAACGGCCACAUUGUGACUGGGAAACGGCCCAGACCCCUACGGGAGGCAGCAGUGGGGAAUCUUCCGCAAUGGAGGAAAGUCUGACGGAGCAACGCCGCGUGAGUGAUGACGGCCUUCGGGUUGUAAAGCGCUGUUAAUCGGGACGCGGUACCGGAAUAGAAAGCCACGGCUAACUACGUGCCAGCAGCCGCGGUAAUUC
rnacentral:rRNA from 1 species